rnacentral:rRNA from 1 species
UAGCGAGGGGGGCGAGCGUUGUUCGGAAGUUAUUGGGCGUAAAGGGUGCUGUAGGCGGUUUGGGUAAGUCUUAUGUGAAAUCUAUGGGCUCAACUCAUAGACUGCAGUAGAAACGUGCCGGGCUAGUAUGGGAGAGGUGGAGUGAAAUUCCUGGUGUAGCGGUGAAAUGACGUAGAUAUCAAGGAGGGAACACCUGGUGGCGAAAGCGGCCUCACUGGGCCGAUAAACUGACGGCUGGAUGACACGGAAAGCUAGGGGAGCAAACAGGA